UACAGAGACCCCAAGCGUUAUCCGGAUUUAUUGGGCGUAAAGGGCAGGUAGGCGGGUGUAUUAGUCGGGUGUCAAAGCCCUCGGCUCAACCGAGGACAGGCAUUCGAAACGGUACGCCUAGAGAUGGUGAGAGAUCAGUGGAAUUUACGGUGUAGUAGUGAAAUGCGUUGAUAUCGUAAGGAACACCAAAGGCGAAGGCAACUGAUUGGCACCGUUCUGACGCUGAGCUGCGAAAGCGUGGGUAGCGAAUGGG
rnacentral:rRNA from 1 species